rnacentral:lncRNA from 1 species
AUCCAACAAUUUUAAAUGCCAAGGCAGGCAAAGAAAACUAUCAUUUAAUUGCGAAGAAACAAGGAGUACAAGAGAGCACACACGGUUCAAGCCAAGCCUUCUUCAAUUACAAUAUCUAGCCCAUCUGAGCAUGCUCCUAUAUGAGCUUUAACGACUGAAUCCUAUUGCGUUAAAAGAGUAAUAAAUCCUUUAAUAACCGCCCAAAAACAUGAGAAUUACACACGGUAUCAGAAAAUCAGAUGAAAUUGUAUAACUCAUCCGAAUAAACCCCUUCAAAUAAUAAAACUAAGCAAAAUAGUCUAUACCCUAUGUUACAUACCGAUGGCUUUCAUAAUAAAGGGCACUGUAGCUUUACUAGAAUACAACAUUCUCACAAGCCCAGAUUGAGUGGAACUAGGGCCAACAUUAUUGAGCUGAAUGUAGGAGGCCCUUGGUUGAUUUUCAAAAGCUAUGGUAUUGAACUC